CCUACGGGAGGCAGCAGUGGGGAAUUUUGGACAAUGGGGGCAACCCUGAUCCAGCCAUGCCGCGUGCGGGAAGAAGGCCUUCGUGUUGUAAACCGCUUUCGGCCGGAACGAAAUCGCCGGGGAGAACAUCCCCGGUGGAUGACGGUACCGGAAGAAGAAGCACCGGCUAACUACGUGCCAGCAGCCGCGGUAAU
rnacentral:rRNA from 1 species